rnacentral:rRNA from 1 species
AGAGUUUGAUCCUGGCUCAGGAUGAACGCUAGCGACAGGCUUAACACAUGCAAGUCGAGGGGCAGCACAGGUAGCAAUACCGGGUGGCGACCGGCGCACGGGUGAGUAACGCGUAUGCAACUUGCCUAUCAGAGGGGGAUAACCCGGCGAAAGUCGGACUAAUACCGCAUGAAGCAGGGGCCCCGCAUGGGGAUAUUUGCUAAAGAUUCAUCGCUGAUAGAUAGGCAUGCGUUCCAUUAGGCAGUUGGCGGGGUAACGGCCCACCAAACCGACGAUGGAUAGGGGUUCUGAGAGGAAGGUCCCCCACAUUGGUACUGAGACACGGACCAAACUCCUACGGGAGGCAGCAGUGAGGAAUAUUGGUCAAUGGGCGCGAGCCUGAACCAGCCAAGUCGCGUGAGGGAUGAAGGUUCUAUGGAUCGUAAACCUCUUUUAUAAGGGAAUAAAGUGAGGGACGUGUCCCGUUUUGUAUGUACCUUAUGAAUAAGGAUCGGCUAACUCCGUGCCAGCAGCCGCGGUAAUACGGAGGAUCCGAGCGUUAUCCGGAUUUAUUGGGUUUAAAGGGUGCGUAGGCGGCCUUUUAAGUCAGCGGUGAAAGUCUGUGGCUCAACCAUAGAAUUGCCGUUGAAACUGGGGGGCUUGAGUAUGUUUGAGGCAGGCGGAAUUCGUGGUGUAGCGGUGAAAUGCAUAGAUAUCACGCAGAACCCCGAUUGCGAAGGCAGCCUGCCAAGCCAUUACUGACGCUGAUGCACGAAAGCGUGGGGAUCAAACAGGAUUAGAUACCCUGGUAGUCCACGCAGUAAACGAUGAUCACUAGCUGUUUGCGAUACACUGUAAGCGGCACAGCGAAAGCGUUAAGUGAUCCACCUGGGGAGUACGCCGGCAACGGUGAAACUCAAAGGAAUUGACGGGGGCCCGCACAAGCGGAGGAACAUGUGGUUUAAUUCGAUGAUACGCGAGGAACCUUACCCGGGCUUGAAUUGCAACUGAAUGAUGUGGAGACAUGUCAGCCGCAAGGCAGUUGUGAAGGUGCUGCAUGGUUGUCGUCAGCUCGUGCCGUGAGGUGUCGGCUUAAGUGCCAUAACGAGCGCAACCCUUAUCGAUAGUUACCAUCAGGUUAUGCUGGGGACUCUGUCGAGACUGCCGUCGUAAGAUGUGAGGAAGGUGGGGAUGACGUCAAAUCAGCACGGCCCUUACGUCCGGGGCUACACACGUGUUACAAUGGGGGGUACAGAAGGCAGCUACACGGCGACGUGAUGCUAAUCCCUAAAGCCUCUCUCAGUUCGGAUUGGAGUCUGCAACCCGACUCCAUGAAGCUGGAUUCGCUAGUAAUCGCGCAUCAGCCACGGCGCGGUGAAUACGUUCCCGGGCCUUGCACACACCGCCCGUCAAG